rfam:Ictidomys tridecemlineatus contig046298, whole genome shotgun sequence.
GGCCGGUUAGCUCAGUUGGUUAGAGCUUGGUGCCGAUAAUGCCAAGGUCACGGGUUCGUUCCCCGUACGGGCCA